AUGCAGAGCUGAUGAUCAAAGGUCUUAAUAAAGUCCCUUGGGAAAGGGUGGAUGUCAGUUUUCGAAAAAGUAAACAACGCGUUUUCGCUCAUAGUACUAUUCAGGUGAAGUCCAAGCUUUUAAACUCUGAUGGUGCUGAUGUAAUUUUUCACAUGAUCGAUAAUUUUCUUCUGUAAAUUUGAGCGCACACAAAAAAUUUAAGAUGAUGGUUUCUGUGGUUCAAGUUUUCUGGUUCCAUCAGUAGCUUUAAUUACGGGAAUGGCCCGGGCUCAUGGAGUGGCGAGGCUACGUAGAAGGGGCAUUCUGUUCAUUCCAGGAGGAGCUCUCUCUCUCUGAUGCCUUUCUGCCAUGGAAGCAGAGAAGAGAAAGGAAUCCCUCUGGCUUUUUCUUCUGCUUGAAGAAGCUGCUUAAUUUCCUGCCAUUGUCCAUUUGCUGCUUGGCAUUCCUCAAUAUAUAGAGGUUUUUUAUUUAUUUCUGCCAUCUUUUUGUCAAACCUAUGCUUUUCAAUAUGUUAUGAAUGUAAUUUUCAUUUUAUUGCGCUUGUAUCAUGUUUUUUGUGUUGAAACGUAUCAUGUAAACUUGGUGGUUGAAUGUAUAUUAUUUUAUUU